UGAGACACGGUCCAGACUCCUACGGGAGGCAGCAGUGGGGAAUUUUCCGCAAUGGGCGCAAGCCUGACGGAGCAAUACCGCGUGAGGGAGGAAGGCUCUUGGGUUGUAAACCUCUUUUAUCAGGGAAGAAAGAAUGACGGUACCUGAUGAAUCAGCAUCGGCUAACUCCGUGCCAGCAGCCGCGGUAAUACGGGGGAUGCAAGCGUUAUCCGGAAUUAUUGGGCGUAAAGCGUCCGUAGGUGGCUUAUCAAGUCUGCUGUUAAAGAAUGCGGCUCAACCGCAUAUGGGCAGUGGAAACUGAUGAGCUAGAGUGCGAUAGGGGUUACAGGAAUUCCCAGUGUAGCGGUGAAAUGCGUAGAUAUUGGGAAGAACACCAGCGGCGAAAGCGUGUGACUGGGUCUGCACUGACACUGAGGGACGAAAGCUAGGGGAGCGAAAGGGAUUAGAUACCCCUGUAGUCCUAGCCGUAAACGAUGACAACUAGGUGUGGUUCGUAUCGACCCGAGCCGUGCCGUAGCCAACGCGUUAAGUUGUCCGCCUGGGGAGUACGCACGCAAGUGUGAAACUCAAAGGAAUUGACGGGGGCCCGCACAAGCGGUGGAGUAUGUGGUUUAAUUCGAUGCAACGCGAAGAACCUUACCAAGGCUUGACAUCCUGCGAAUCUCCUUGAAAGGGGAGAGUGCCUUCGGGAGCGCAGAGACAGGUGGUGCAUGGCUGUCGUCAGCUCGUGUCGUGAGAUGUUGGGUUAAGUCCCGCAACGAGCGCAACCCACGUUUUUAGUUGCCAUCAUUCAGUUGGGCACUCUAGAGAGACUGCCGGUGACAAACCGGAGGAAGGUGUGGAUGACGUCAAGUCAGCAUGCCCCAUACGCCUUGGGCUACACACGUACUACAAUGCGUUGGACAGAGGGUCGCAAGCGUGCGAGCGCAAGCCAAUCUCGUAAACCAACGCUCAGUUCAGAUUGCAGGCUGCAACUCGCCUGCAUGAAGGCGGAAUCGCUAGUAAUCGCAGGUCAGCAUACUGCGGUGAAUGCGUUCCCGGGCCUUGUACACACCGCCCGUCACACCAUGGGGGUUGGUCAUGCCCGAAGUCGUUACUCUAACCGUUCGCGGA
rnacentral:rRNA from 1 species